GCAGCUCAGUGGUAGAGCAUCUGGCUCACAUGUAGAAGAUUCCUGGUUCAGUUCCUAGCAUCUCCA